GGGGGUAGAGCUCAGUGGUAAAGCAUUUGACUGCAGAUCAAGAGGUCCCUGAUUCAAAUCCAGGUGCCCCCU
rfam:Pongo abelii chromosome 7.